ACGCACGCUGGCGGCAUGCCUAACACAUGCAAGUCGAACGAGACCUUCGGGUCUAGUGGCGCACGGGUGCGUAACGCGUGGGAACCUGCCCUUAGGUUCGGAAUAACUCCCCGAAAGGGGUGCUAAUACCGGAUAAUGUCUUCGGACCAAAGAUUUAUCGCCUUUGGAUGGGCCCGCGUUGGAUUAGCUAGUUGGUAGGGUAAAAGCCUACCAAGGCGACGAUCCAUAGCUGGUCUGAGAGGAUGAUCAGCCACACUGGGACUGAGACACGGCCCAGACUCCUACGGGAGGCAGCAGUGGGGAAUAUUGGACAAUGGGCGAAAGCCUGAUCCAGCAAUGCCGCGUGAGUGAUGAAGGCCUUAGGGUUGUAAAGCUCUUUUACCCGGGAUGAUAAUGACAGUACCGGGAGAAUAAGCUCCGACUAACUCCGUG
rnacentral:rRNA from 1 species